AGCAGCCGCGGUAAUUCCAGCUCCAAUAGCGUAUAUUAAAGUUGUUGCAGUUAAAAAGCUCGUAGUUGAAUUUCGGGGUCAGUAAGUUGGUCGUGCCACCGGUAUGUACUGGCUUUACUGAUUCCUCCUUCUUGAAGAACUGUAAUGUCAUUAAUUUGGUGUUGCAGGGAAACAGGACUGUUACUUUGAAAAAAUUAGAGUGUUUAAAGCAGGCUAACGCUUGAAUACAUUAGCAUGGAAUAAUGAAAUAGGACGUUUGACCCUAUUUUGUUGGUUUCUAGGAUCGACGUAAUGAUUAAUAGGGAUAGUUGGGGGCAUUAGUAUUCAAUUGUCAGAGGUGAAAUUCUUGGAUUUAUUGAAGACUGACUACUGCGAAAGCAUUUGCCAAGGAUGUUUUCAUUAAUCAAGAACGAAAGUUAGGGGAUCGAAGACGAUCAGAUACCGUCGUAGUCUUAACCAUAAACUAUGCCGACUAGGGAUCGGAUGAUGUUAAUUUUUAAAUGACUCAUUCGGCGCCUUA
rnacentral:rRNA from 1 species